rnacentral:rRNA from 1 species
CCUACGGGUGGCAGCAGUAGGGAAUUUUGCGCAAUGGGCGAAAGCCUGACGCAGCAACACCGCGUGAAUGUUAAGCCCUUCGGGGUGUAAAGUUCUGUCAAUAGGGACGAAUUUUGACUGUACCUAUAAAGGAAGCACCGGCUAACUCCGUGCCAGCAGCCGCGGUAAUACGGGGGGUGCAAGCGUUAUCCGGAUUUAUUGGGUUUAAAGGGUGCGUAGGCGGUCCGUUAAGUCAGCGGUAAAAUUGCGGGGCUCAACCCCGUCGAGCCGUUGAAACUGGCAGACUUGAGUUGGCGAGAAGUACGCGGAAUGCGCGGUGUAGCGGUGAAAUGCAUAGAUAUCGCGCAGAACUCCGAUUGCGAAGGCAGCGUACCGGCGCCAGACUGACGCUGAGGCACGAAAGCGUGGGGAUCGAACAGGAUUAGAUACCCCAGUAGUC